rnacentral:rRNA from 1 species
UACGGGGGGGGCAAGCGUUGUUCGGAAUUACUGGGCGUAAAGGGCGCGUAGGCGGUUCGUACAGUCAGACGUGAAAUUCCUGGGCUCAACCUGGGGGCUGCGUUUGAUACGUGCGGACUUGAGUGCGGAAGAGGGUCGUGGAAUUCCCAGUGUAGAGGUGAAAUUCGUAGAUAUCAGGAGGAACACCAAUGGCGAAGGCAGCACUCUGGGACGUGACUGACGCUGAGACGCGAAAGCGUGGGGAGCAAACAGG